rnacentral:sRNA from 1 species
AAAAUUUUAAAAAAAAAGUUUGCUUAAUUAAUCAGAUAAAUCUGUUGGCUUUGCUGUCAAAUGAGAUAAUUAUGGUUAAAAACAUAACCUCUCAUUAAUUGUUAAAGCCAAGCAAGUUUUACCUUUUGCAAAACACCAAAGCGUUGUAUGUCAGCUUCUUCGUUAAUGGACAUUUUGAUCGAUCCAAAUUCUGAUAUUAGCUGCAUAGAUAGAAGUUAGCAUUUGAGUUAAAACCUGACAAUUCAGUUAAAACAUGACAGACGAGUUGAAUUUUUACUCCAGUUCUAGUUGAAGGCGCAUUCACCAACACCAUAUCCUUUGAGUUUAUAUGGAAAACCCUAGAUAGCUGAACGGGAAGGAAUAAUAGAAAAUUAUUUCAGAACUUUUAUUACCCUUAAUAUCAUCAAUAGUGAGGUUCAAGAAGCUAACCUUUGUAUUGAUAUUGUAAUUGGAAACAACUGUAUUUGUAAUCCCCAUUCGAUGGAGAUUGGCAUAAAGUGAACCAAGCAAGUGUUCAGUAGACGCAUUAGCAAAUAUUAUACCUUUUAUUACCAUAAAGCGCCCAGACAGAUGUUCAGGAGUUUCCCCAAUGGGAAGACUUUCAGGUUCAUCUUCAAUGACAAGUCCAUGCUACAAGCAGUUUUGAAAGAAUCAAGUACAUGUAUGUAUGAACAACAUAAUACUUGUUGUGAAUCUAGAGGAAGAAAAUUUGCAUACUUACCGUUGACCAGUUCUGUAGCAGGCAUACGUGAAAUCCUCGGUCCAAAAGCUGUUGAGAAAGAUAUAUUCUCCGAGUCUUAAGCAAAAAAACAAAACUCAUCAUAAAAAUGCAUAAUCUCAAAACUUUACUAAACAAUUGAACAAUGGAUAACCAAAUUUACCUUUAGAGUGUUCGUCCAUAUAUAUGUCGGCAUCGGCUCCUCAAACGCCUUGAUUAGUUUAAAGAGUUCUCCAGAGUCAUAUUCAAAAUGCCUUGAUUAUGCGACGCCUUGAUUAUCCGACACUCAUAUUCAAGAUUGGUAAAGAACUGAAAGUGAGCUUAUCUCGUACAAUUAAGUUGUAUAAGAUGCUAUUGUAACAACCGGUUGUGACAAAUCUACAUUUAUAAUCCGGAAUUCACUAAGAUUGUCUUAACAAGUACUAAGUUUAGAGUCUA